UCCGCAACGAGCGCAACCCUCGACCUUAGUUGCCAGCAUUCAGUUGGGCACUCUAAGGUGACUGCCGGCUAAAGGUCGGAGGAAGUGGGGAUGACGUCAAAUCAUCAUGCCCCUUAUGACCUGGGCUACACACGUGCUACAAUGGGCGGUACAAAGGGUCGCGAACCCGCGAGGGGGAGCCAAUCCCAAAAAGCCGCUCUCAGUUCGGAUUGCAGGCUGCAACUCGCCUGCAUGAAGCCGGAAUCGCUAGUAAUCGCGGAUCAGCAUGCCGCGGUGAAUACGUUCCCGGGCCUU
rnacentral:rRNA from 1 species